rnacentral:rRNA from 1 species
UGAUAUGAAGAGCUUGCUCGGAUUUGAAGAUGAACAUUGCAAAGAGUGGCGAACGGGUGAGUAACACGUGGGAAACCUACCUCUUAGCGGGGGAUAACACUUGGAAACAAGUGCUAAUACCGCAUAAUACUGAUAACCGCAUGGUUAUCAGUUGAAAGAUGGUUCUGCUAUCACUAAGAGAUGGUCCCGCGGUGUAUUAGCUAGUUGGUAAGGUAAUGGCUUACCAAGGCAAUGAUACAUAGCCGAGUUGAGAGACUGAUCGGCCACAAUGGGACUGAGACACGGCCCAUACUCCUACGGGAGGCAGCAGUAGGGAAUCUUCCACAAUGGACGAAAGUCUGAUGGAGCAACGCCGCGUGUGUGAUGAAGGGUUUCGGCUCGUAAAACACUGUUGUAAGAGAAGAAUGACAUUGAGAGUAACUGUUCAGUGUGUGACGGUAUCUUACCAGAAAGGAACGGCUAAAUACGUGCCAGCAGCCGCGGUAAUACGUAUGUUCCAAGCGUUAUCCGGAUUUAUUGGGCGUAAAGCGAGCGCAGACGGUUGUUUAAGUCUGAAGUGAAAGCCCACAGCUUAACUGUGGAAGUGCUUUGGAAACUGGAUAACUUGGAGUGCAGUAGAGGAGAGUGGAACUCCUGGG